rnacentral:tRNA from 1 species
GCCCAGAUAGUUCAGUCGGUAGAACACCAGUUUGAAGAACUGGGUGUCGGUGGUUCAACUCCACCUCUGGGCACCA